GAGUUUGAUCGUGGCUCAGAAUGAACGCUGGCGGCAUGCCUAACACAUGCAAGUCGAACGAGACCUUCGGGUCUAGUGGCGCACGGGUGCGUAACGCGUGGGAAUCUGCCCUUGGGUUCGGAAUAACAGCGAGAAAUUGCUGCUAAUACCGGAUGAUGUCUUCGGACCAAAGAUUUAUCGCCCAGGGAUGAGCCCGCGUAGGAUUAGCUAGUUGGUGUGGUGAAGGCGCACCAAGGCGACGAUCCUUAGCUGGUCUGAGAGGAUGAUCAGCCACACUGGGGCUGAGACACGGCCCAGACUCCUACGGGAGGCAGCAGUGGGGAAUAUUGGACAAUGGGCGAAAGCCUGACUCCAGCCAUGCCGCGUGUGUGAAGAAGGUCUUCGGAUUGUAAACCUCUUUCAGCAGGGACGAAGCGAGAGUGACGGUACCUGCAGAAGAAGCACCGGCCAACUACGUGCCAGCCGCCGCGGUAAU
rnacentral:rRNA from 1 species